rnacentral:rRNA from 1 species
GCAAGCGUUGUUCGGAUUUACUGGGCGUAAAGGGCGCGUAGGCGGCGUGGCAAGUCACUUGUGAAAUCUCCGGGCUUAACUCGGAACGGUCAAGUGAUACUGCUGUGCUAGAGUGCGGAAGGGGCAACUGGAAUUCUUGGUGUAGCGGUGAAAUGCGUAGAUAUCAAGAGGAACACCUGCGGCGAAGGCGGGUUGCUGGGCCGACACUGACGCUGAGGCGCGAAAGCUAGGGGAGCGAACGGG